rnacentral:misc_RNA from 1 species
GGUUGAUCUUUCAAACAUUGUGCCGCCAAGUUUGCUGAAUGCUACUAAGCAAAAAAUAUGGCCCCCAAAAAGACCAAAAAACGCCCUAAACAGAACUUGUCUCAUGGUUCAGGUAGUUCAAGUGAAUCGGACGGAAGCAAAGGAAUGAAAACACACAGACGUUCAGAAAGACUUGGCAAGCUGCACACAGAUACACGUAGUCCUGUGGUUGACUUGGCCUAUGAUGGUGAUGGUGAAACCACCGAAGAGAAUGUGUCGGAGAAUUCGGAUCAAGUGAUGCGUUCGGCUGGAAGUGAUGCAUAUGACUUUGAAGAUGAUGAUGUUGAAACCAGCCCACAAACAUUGUCGUUGUAUCAGAAAGUAAAAACAAACAGUGAUCAUGAAUCCAAAACGACUAAAAAAACAGACAGAAAAAAGAAUUCAUCUCAAGAAAAUAAAUCUGAUGCUAAAAUGAAGUCAAAAGUUCCAAAACCGGAUAAAUCAUCACAUUUAACAUUAAACAAAUGUAACAACUUUUCUGUGGCAUGCAUCUUAAAAGCAAAAUUUGACAACAAAAUUGUUGAUGCAAGUUCUGAGAAGCUUAGUACGGACAGUUCAGUGCAAUCCCCUCCAGUGUUAAAAACCCAAAAUACAAGCUCAGCUAAAAUGUCACUAGUUACACGCAGCAAUAAAACAGCUUUAUCCAAAACAAAAACUCAAGUAACAAUCACCACUAACAAAACACCAGUGACAUCGAUUAACAAAAAAUCACCAGUUUCAUCCAUUAACAAGAAUACCUUAAUUAGUAACAAUCAAACGUCGGUCGUGUCAAUAACGAAAAAAACUCCACUCUUGACUAUUAACAAGAGAACACCAAACACAUCUGCCAAUAAAAAAACACCAGUGUCAUCCAUUAACAAAAAAACACCAGUGUCGUCCAUUAACAAAAAAACACCAGUGUCGUCCAUUAACAAAAAAACACCAGUUGUGUUGAUCAACAAAAACAUUUUAAUCUCGUCCUUUGACAAAAAUACUCCAGUGACAUCCAACAAUGCUAAAAACAUUGCAAGUAGCGUCAGAUCAAACACAUCAGCAAAGCCUAAAACAUUUGCCUCCUCUAGGAUUACAAAACGCAAAGCAGCAGUGUCAAAUGUUUUCACUUCGACCAAUUCUUCACUAGAAUUACAACGGAACGAUAGUGGUGUGUUUAUUUCUCCACCUCCUGUGAAAUUAGCCAAGCUGGGUAUGAAAGAUACAUCGACCCCAAGUAACCCUGGGACGGAUGUUGUCAAGGACUCGUGUUUUGGUUUCACCAAUCUCAACCUGGUGGGUUCCCCGAUGUUGUCGCCUGUACAGAAGAUGGCUGUGACUCCGACAUCAGAUUACUGCUCGGCAGUGUUCUCUCUGUCUCAGAUCUCUGUGCACGACGACUCAUCAGACCUGAAGAGAGUUCACCAGCACUCUGUAUUUUCAGGAGAUGACUUAGAACCAGAUAUUGCUUUGAAUAAAGUCUCAUCAAAAACGUACAAGCCUGCAAAACAGAAGCGUGCCAAGGGGCGAUAUUCAUCUUCAAAGGUGGAAGCUUGGGCUGAGAAAGUGAAUCAAGAAUUUGAUGACUUGGACAAUUUUGAGCUGAGCAUAGAAGGAUGACAGAUUGUAUGAAGGCAACAGACCAACAGCACUGUUUUGUGACAGGUCUAAACAUUUCAUUCAGGAACCACAAAUAAUUGUAGUUUAUCAGGUUUUCUAAAUAAUUGGUGGUGUACUAUUUAUUUAAGACUUGGCAACAUUCAUUUUGGGCAAUUUUAGUGUUGUCAAGAAUUAUAGGCCUUAUUUGUUUAUAAUCUGUGUAAUGUUGUUUUAAUACAUGCAGAACAUUAAACUGUUAUUUACUAUUUACAUAUUCAAAACAAAUUUAAUAAAAUUUCAUUUGCACAAAAAUGGUUGGACAGAAAUCUGUAUUUAUAUCAUUUAGUUUUUUUUUUUAAAGUUAAUCAGUAAACUGAUCCCAAAUCGAAUUUUGGCCAUGCUUUAUAUUUGAAGGUCAAACAGGGGGAAAACUUUUCAACCUGGAGCAGUAUUUUGGAUGUGUUGAAGUCUAGUAUACAUAAACAUUUAUUGGAACCUCCUUGUACUGAGAAAUAAUGUUCCACAGUGAUUAAUGGACCUUCCUGGAAAUUGUCAAAAUUGAG